rnacentral:rRNA from 1 species
GAUGAACGCUGGCGGCGUGCCUAAUACAUGCAAGUCGAGCGAACAAACGAGGAGCUUGCUCCUCUGACGUUAGCGGCGGACGGGUGAGUAACACGUGGAUAACCUACCUAUAAGACUGGGAUAACUUCGGGAAACCGGAGCUAAUACCGGAUAAUAUAUUGAACCGCAUGGUUCAAUAGUGAAAGACGGUUUUGCUGUCACUUAUAGAUGGAUCCGCGCCGCAUUAGCUAGUUGGUAAGGUAACGGCUUACCAAGGCAACGAUGCGUAGCCGACCUGAGAGGGUGAUCGGCCACACUGGAACUGAGACACGGUCCAACUCCUACGGGAGGCAGCAGUAGGGAAUCUUCCGCAGUGGGCGAAAGCUUGACGGAGCAACGCCGCGUGAGUGAUGAAGGUCUUCGGAUCGUAAAACUCUGUUAUUAGGGAAGAACAAAUGUGUAAGUAACUAUGCACGUCUUGACGGUACCUAAUCAGAAAGCCACGGCUAACUACGUG